rnacentral:rRNA from 1 species
CCUACGGGUGGCAGCAGUGAGGAAUAUUGGUCAAUGGACGAGAGUCUGAACCAGCCAAGUAGCGUGAAGGAUGACUGCCCUAUGGGUUGUAAACUUCUUUUAUAUGGGAAUAAAACGUUCCACGUGUGGGAUUUUGUAUGUACAAUUUGAAUAAGGAUCGGCUAACUCCGUGCCAGCAGCCGCGGUAAUACGGAGGAACCGAGCGUUAUCCGGAUUUAUUGGGUUUAAAGGGAGCGUAGGUGGAUUGUUAAGUCAGUUGUGAAAGUUUGCGGCUCAACCGUAAAAUUGCAGUUGAAACUGGCAGUCUUGAGUACAGUAGAGGUGGGCGGAAUUCGUGGUGUAGCGGUGAAAUGCUUAGAUAUCACGAAGAACUCCGAUUGCGAAGGCAGUUCACUGGACUGCAACUGACACUGAGGCUCGAAAGUGUGGGUAUCAAACAGGAUUAGAUACCCCGGUAGUC